AUAACGGCAAUGCAAAAUGAUACAACUCGUCCGUUUUGAUGUUGGCAGUUGCCUUAACGGUGAGUGUCUUGUCAUUUCUCUAAUGUAUAGGUUCGCUAGUUGCCUUAGGGCAUCUUUAGCGGUGGUCUAUUUUUGAAACAACUUUAUACUAGAUUUACACCAGCGAAACCUUAAUAGAACCAGCUUAUAUAGACCAACUUUUCGUUCUCCGCACCGGUGUUGUAUAUCUUGUUAUUUUAAACCACUGACAUCUGUCACACUGUCAACAAAUCACGAGCAACAUGUCAAAAGGUCGUAAGUAACAUUCACUGCAUUUCGAGAAAAUGAACAUUGAAAAUUGGGAUGAUGGAAUCAAAUCUUAUUUGAAAACUUUUCAUUCUUUUAAUGAAUAUACUUUAAAAAAUGAACACGAAUGAGUUGCAGAAUGGGUGCGCUUCGACAGAAUUGAGUAUUUAUUAGUUUUUAGCUGUAAAUUGAAGGAAAAUGUUACUUACGACCUUUUAUUUCUAGUCAGGCACAUUCGACAUAGAUUAUACGGUUUUUUUUGAUAGCUAGGUGAACAGAUACGACGUUUAAAAAAAUUCCUAGAUCGCAGGGAACCGUGCAGCACCGUAAACCAGCGAAGUGGAAAGCACACUUGUAUAAUUCAGCUGCUAAAUAACAUAAUUUAUUGUAAACUACCUUUCGAAAUUUGUUUAGUAUUCUUGGACACAUUCAAAUAAUCAAAGAAAAGUAAAAUAUUAGGAAUCAAUAUACGGUUUUUUAUUCAGUAUAAUCUAUAGAAUCCAGAUCUUUAUCGAAUUCAUCUUUUACUUCAUUUUGCUUAAACUUUCGCCCUCGCUUUGGAACAGCUAACGAUUGGAGGAAUGUUUUAUAAUAUUCUUUUUGACUUAUGUAUGGCAAAAGACUUCUCAAAUCCUCGAGUUUAGCAGUAGGUAGCGGAAUGGGGCUUGUUUCUAUUGGGAGCAAAUUGGUUUUUACCAUGCUAUUGAUGUCAUGAUCUGAGGGAAUUAGUCGAACAGUUUUAAAUUCCUCUGCAACAUCAUACUUUAUGGCAACGACUCCUGGACACUUUGUACUGUAACUGAACACCAUAAUUUCUUUGAAACGAAGCUUCUCUCCAGUUGUGGUCAUUUUUGGCAAGGUAUAACGAGUUUCCAAUGAUUAAAGUGCUUUGAAUUCCGAUUGAUUUAACUCUCUUACUGUAAACGGAACUGAUCGACGAACAGCCGCAAUAAAAAUCGCCCAGUCAUGUGGCGUUUCGAUGUCAAUAACAGUUUUUCUCUUAGCACAUUUUCCUGCCUUUCAGUGCUAACAUUUCGAUAUGGUAGCAAAACAUAAAUACGAUGUUUUUAUUUAAAUUUUGGCCACCACAGCGAUCGCUGUAAUAAUUGAUUGUUUUCACACAAUCAGGUACUGCCACCAAAUCUAGUAAUAAACAAGAUCCAACUUCUUGAGAGCCACGACGUGCUUUGGUUUCAUCCCAAAGAAAGCACGUUGCAGAGUUCACUCCACAAUGUGUCUCAAACAUCGUUAGGUUAAGUGUGUACAAUUGUCUGGCAUAAAAUGCUUGGCCACACGUCAAACUAGGUGUCGGCAGCUGCUUUUGCAGAUCGAAUGAUACUGUUUUCACGUCAUCUCCUAUCUUAGAUAACGCAAUAUUUUUUUUUCUCAUCAUAUACACGCUUUGCGGCAGUCUGAUGUUGCUCGUAUAUUUUUCUUGCGUUACUUUUUUCCUGUUCGUUACUUGCUGUUUUUGUAAGCAUCGUUAGACGAUCACAUUCUCCACAGGUGUCGACUUUAGGAGUCCUAAACCCUAAAUUCAUCGUUUUGAAUAUCAAGCGAUAUGUGUUAUAAGAAACAGUAUUUAGGCAAAAAUCCGCACACUUUCCCACAUACAUCUCGUACAUGAUUUGAACGUUUAGGUCAUUAGAAAGAUAUAGCCGAUUGGAGCGCUCACGAGAAUAAUGACUUGAAUAAGCUAAAAAAGAGCGAAUGUGGUUUUUGAUAAAGUUAACAUGGUCCUCAUGAAUCGGAAUUCUGUUUCGGUUGUUCACUCGUUGGUCAUCGCUUGCAAUCAUUUGACAGGAAGUUUUACGUGCCAGACCACGUAUUUUUCGAUCGCCAAUAUCAAACGUUGCAACGAACAUAGAUUUGCAAACUUUGACGGUUCCAUUAACUGCUGGCAACGAAUAAGUACGGCUGUAUCUGCGCCGAGAGUUGAUGACCUGUGAAUAAGAUUGAGCCUUAGUAGUCUCAAAACAUUAAAUACAAAAUAUUCAACUAUUCAUACCUUGGAUCUCUUUGUUUCAGUAACCGUUAUGUGGUUCGCCAAAAAUUGGUUCUGUCCAGAGAGUUUUAAUCGAAGUAAAUGUUUUAAAAGAAGGUUACGGGUUUCGACAUUAUAUUUUUCGCUGCAUUUCAGUCGACAUCUACAAGCCGGUCGUAUGCGUCUUUCUGGUACAACAGUACCAUCUUUGCGGGUGUAUUCCAUUCUCUUUUCCUUUCUGUCCCUGUUCGUCACUUUAGGAUUGCCAGUGCGGGUCUUAAGUACAGUCGCUUCCUUGUCUAGAUCAUCCAAGUAAUGAGCACUAAUGUUUGCUUCUUCAUCAUCACUAAUCUUAUAUGGCUCAAAAUAUUCAAAAAUAGAAAAAUCGUUUAAUAAUAUAGUAUCACCAUCUUCAACGCUAUCAUCAUCAAUCAUUCCUUCAUCAGAAUGUAUAUUGUCAGCCUUUUCCCUUGUUACAGGAGCUGUUUGUUUCAUACACAAAUCUAUGGGUUCAUCGCAACCACAUUUAUCGUCCUUGGGCUCGAGUUCUAAGUUGUUUCCAUCCACUAGGAGGCUUGCAGAAAAAUCCAACGUACUGGCAAAUGACAAAUCUAUAGUUUCAUUGCGGAUGGGAGUCGAUGUUACAACCUUCUUUUUUUUUUAAUCGGCUCUUCAUGGCCAGAUAGAUAAUUGCAAUUUUCACAACAGUUCAUCGGACGAUCGCAGUUUGUGCUAUUUAAAAUUUGUUGUGGAGGUGCUCGAUCUAAAAAAUUACCAAUGAUUAGAAUAAGUAGACAAGCUGAAAAAUGAAUACUACCUGCCAACGAACGUUUUUUAUUACUUAAAGAAGACAGCGCGGAACAAAUAUCUUUACCGUUAGCGGUGUUUACAGUAUACGUUUGAGUUUCGCUGAUACGCAGCUGGGAACAAUUGGAUAAACGUAAAGGUAGGCUGGGUGACGAAAGGUUUUCCGAAUGACUCGAAAGUGAUUUAGUCGACUCAAAGUCUGUUGCCACUUCCUCAUAACAAGCUACAGUAGGUACCUUCUCCAAAACGGGAAAUUGUGUGCUUGAACCAAAAAGAUUCAGAAGCGCAUCAGCAGCAGCUAGAAAAUAAUCAUAACUUACCACUAAAAUAUUAGUCAUUCAUACAGUAAAUCCUUACCCAGCAAUGCUUCAAAUCGGGCAAAUUCCAUUUUUCUAGCCUAUUUGUUUCACGCGCUAACUUAUUUCAACUGCAAAAAACUUCGUUUUACGUAAAACACCAAAUGACGCAAGAGAAAAUAUGGUUGCUAUGAUCGACAAAUGCACAUUCGACCUACGAAAAUCAAAAGGUCGUAAGAAACAAAAGUGUUUGUUUACGAAAUAAAUACUAAUUCGUCGUUUUGAAAAUUUGCCAAAUAGGUGCUUUAAGUAAAAUUAAACGCUGUGACAGCAUUUUUAGUGCAUAGUAAAGGAAAAAUAACGUUGUUUGGUAUAUUUAUCGCGAUUUGUUUACAUUUGUUACUUACGACCUUUAGACAUGUUGCUCGUGAAAUGCUAUCAGUUUAUGAGACUUGUUGUAAUAAAAAGCACUCAAUAUAUAACAAACGGAAAUUCGAUAAUUUUUACACCCAUUAAACGAUUACUUUGACAAGACACUUUAUAUUUACAAGACUUUAUAUAUUUGACGGUUUGACCCGAGCGUCAGUGACAUUUCUCAGGAUGGAUUGGUAUGAUCGAAAAAUUUCUGCUACAAGUAGGGCUUCGGUGGAUAGCGAAAAAUAUUUGAUCGCGUAGAUUUCAUCUUCCGUUUUCGUCUCAUCAAUCUUUCAGAAUCUUGCAGUUCUUCAAACUUGGGUUCGGUUUUGAGGAUAUUGAAACAAGCCUGCAUUUUGAACGUUGUCAGUUCAGUAUCUUCGAGGAACAUUUUGCUGGCCUCUUGAGGUCUCAUCUAGUGCCACUACAAUUAAGACGAUUAACGAAUAGCCAACAUAUUUGUCAUCCUGGUGCCUGAUGGCUGAAAACCAAGUAGUUGAACCCACGGUUAUGGUCUUCUAGAAUUCCCCUAGUCGGUUCCCUUGAAGCCAAAAACGACAAACCUGUUCAUUCCUCUUCAGAAAAGCCACAAUUGAAUUGUGAAUUGUCAUGAAAAAACUUUGUUUUGUUUAUUCCCCAACACUCGCAAAACGCUUAUAUGGAAAUUGUUGAAAAUGAGGUAUUCGAUUAAAAUAUGACAUUUUACCCACCUAUUGGUAGCGUCCAAAGGUUCUGGAACAAUCUAUUUCUUGUUCCAAAAAGUGACAAAAAUAGACCAAAACGUACAGUCCCUCUAAAAUUAUGGGUCAGUCAACGUGUUGUUUGAAUGUUCAAAAAUGGAUAUAAAAUCGGAAAAGUUAUCAACUACGAAUGUUUUACUAUCUAUCUCUGUGUUCUGAUGUGUACUUUUGAUCAACAAUUAGUUUCACUGCAGUUGAUGCGUGUAAAUAGGUUGGGAAGAAAAAUAUCACUUACACUUAACAAGAGACACAAUUAUGGGUCACUUUUGGCAUUCAAAAUCAUUUAAUCUAUAAAAUCGUCAAAAUACAAAACGUAAGUUAUUUGAUUGUAAAAGCUUAGUAAUAAGUUAUUUUAUUCAUUCUUGAUGAAUUAUCAUGUAAAAGUAAUAAAAUUAGCCAAAAUAUAGACUGACCCACAAUUGUGCACCGCAAAAUGUAACAUUACUACAAUUAUGGGUCACUUCACUUAUUGCUUCGAGCAGAAUUAUAGUUUUAGUGACAUUUUCAACUUUAAAUCAUUUUAAUCGUAUAAUUGAAGUUACAAGUGAGUUAUAAAAAAUACCACUGCUAAAAGUGACCCAUAAUUGUAGCUUACCCAUAACUGUGGAGGCACUGUAGUUUCAAUAUUUUUUCAAUUUAGAUCUGGUAUAAAACAAAAUUACACCACCGGUGCAGCAGUGAAUUUGAGUUUGUUCCAAAAAAAAAAUAGAACAAAACAACGAUUUGGACCACUGCUGAAGAUGCCCUUACGAUUCCCAGUUAAAAAAGAAACAAACGUCAACGAUCAAAACGAACGGGGGCCACGUAAAUUGAGAACAUCAAAAGAUGAUGCUGCUCUUUGUUGGUUUCGCGGUUAACUUUCUAGUUUGGCCUUCUAGUUUGGAAUCUAAUAGGGUCAGAAUUCAUGAAACGGAUCACUAAGAAUCGCGAUGUCUAAUUUUUUCAAAUAAGUAUUAAAAACUUGAAGAGUUUCACUCGGGAAGUUGAUUUUCCAAUUUUCAUUGAAUUUGAGUAAGUUUACAAGUUGUCAUUGUCAUUUGAAAUUUAGGUCAAAAUUGUUUUUAAACAGACAUAGCUUUAAAAAUAUUGCAUCGAAUUUGAUGAAAUUUUCACAGUAGAUGCAGCCUAAGUUGUAGUUUACGAAAAUAAUUUUUUAGGAGAAAAAAAAAUUUCAAUAGUAACUAAUUAAAACAAUAUGUUGAAAAUCUAUGUUCUGGGGCACUGAAAAAUCUAAAAAAAUCACAAGUAUUUUUGACGAAAUUUCAAAACCGCCCUGAAAAUUUCACGGUGGUGAUAUUUUUUGAUCAAAAGAUAUGGGCCUUCAAAGUUGGUGCCAAGCGCAUUUUCAAGCGAGAAGCGAGUGAGCAGUACUACUAUUGACAAUCCCAGUUUCAGUUAUAUGCAAAAAUUCUGUAAGGUUUGUAAAACUAGUUUAAUAGAAAUGAUUUUUAGUCGCAAAAUAGUCAAAAUAUGCUUAGUCUGUUACCCAAGUUAAUGAUGAAGACAGUAUAUUUUAUGCCCCUUACAACUCGCAAGCCUACCUACACAUUUUACUAUAAAAUAAUGCAAAAUUUAGUUAGGGGACAACCGUACAGAACGCAUCAGCGGGUUAAGAUCGCCCGUGCUAUUACUUUUAGCCAUUAUGGUGCACUUUUUGGUAUGAGAACUGAAGAAAACUUGGUUUAGGAGCAUUUCUCGCUUGAAGAACGCGUUGCGGCACUAACUUUGAAGGCCCAUAUCUUUUGAUCAAAAAAUAUCACCACCGCGAAAUUUUCAGGGCAGUUUCGAAAUUUCGUCAAAAAUACUUGUGAUUUUUUUCAGAUUUUUCAGUGCCCCAGAACAUAGAUUUUCAACAUAUUGUUUUAAAUAGUUACUAUUGAGAAAAAUAUUUUUUUCUUCAAAAAAAAUAUUUUCGUAAACUACAACUCAGGAUGCAUCUGCUGUGAAAAUUUCAUCAAAUUCGAUGCAAUAAUUUUAAAGCUUUGUCUAUUUAAAAACAAUUUUGACCUAAAUUUCAAAUGACAAUAACAACUUGUAAACUUACUCAAAUUCAAUAAAAAUUGGAAAAUCAACUUCUCGAGUGAAACUCUUGAAGUUUUUAAUACUUAUUUGAAAUAAUUAGACAUCGCGAUUUUUAGUGAUCCGUUUCACGAAUUCUGACCCAAUAGCAACACGAAUAGAACUUUCUGACUGGCAAUCAACUUGAAAAUUCAAGAAAGAAGAAGAAGAAGAAUUAAGAAAUUGUCGCGAAGCAGCAUUACCCUGUUGUUCAUCGAUAUCCCCCUCGAUGUUUAUCUACGUUUAAAAUGACAUCCCAGUUAGCGAGCCGAUUUCGAUAACUGGGAAGUGCUGUUCGCCCAGUUAUCGUAUUAACAAAUUCCUGACAGCUCAAAAACUCAUUUUCCUUUUUGAAAGCUUAUAAUGCAAGCUUAAUUUGAGGAUUUUUCGAGGAUUAUCCGAAAAACGGUACAAAAUGGUCAAAAGACGGGACGGCUGAAAAUGGUCGAAAAAAUGUUACUGUCCCGUUCAAAACGGUACAUCUGGGCUGCCUAAAAAUGGCGAAAUACCCUCAAAACGAUUAUGUUCGGAGCCAUAUCAAGAGCACACUUACAUUUAAUCACCGAAUUCGUUUUUUAAUUCACCGACUUUGCAACAGCUGAGCGCUCGGUAAAACGUUCGGUAAUAUAAACCACUACCGACCGAUCAGUAAUUAAAUUGUUGUUGCUUUCUGUCAUUACUACCGACCUAAUUUGUGAAAACAGCGAAUGCGGUUAUUGCCAAAACCACCGAUCAAAUCUGUAAGUUGUGUAAGACAGUACCGAAAGAUCUGUGAUGUGUGUUAUUUGUUUACCUUCAAUUAUUAAAGAAAACCAGAACUAUUGAAAACUAAAAAAAAAUAAAAACCGACGUUCGCCGCACCGAAUUUGUACGAGUGAAAAUCAAUUCAACGUUUUUUACUGCUGUGGACUGUGCAUGAACUUCAUGUCAGUUGUGCUCAUAGUUUCAAAGCCGAGGAUCUUCCGGAUGUGUCCAUUAACAACAGAUGCUCGGAGGUAGAAGCAAAUAAUGUGAUGGUUUGAUGCUUAAAAUAUUUACAAAUUUUAUCAUCAUAUACUUACGUAAAUUUGUUAUAUGCGAUCAUAUUCUUGCUAAAGUUAUUGGAAAACGUCCUCCAUUUUCUUUUUUUGCAGGAACUUCAAUGUUCAAACGGAACCGAGAUCUCAAACUUACCGAUCGAAAUUGUAAUAAUAAUUACCGAACUUUUAUUAUACGAUUGAGUGUGAGGCUUUCGGAAAGAUGGCAAAAAGUUGCAGAUUAGGUGCGAUUUUGACAUUCAAGAUGGUAACUUUCGGUUUGGAAAACAACCAAAGAUGACUAACACCCUACUCAAUAUGAGUAUUUCUGCAAUCGGGUUGAUGGGAAAAUCGACGCCAUUUCGGUUCAUUUAAGGGCCACCAAAUCAUUUGCAGAGUUUUCUUUUAGUAUUAGAUACAGUUUGUUGACAUAAAUAUAAAGCUUGUUUCAAACUUAUCACUUGCGAUCACUCUCGAAUGCAGAGAAACAUUUACGAUAACAAGCAGACAGAAAUUUUCGGAAAACAAUUGUUACCGAUAGUGUGUUAGAGCUUUCGUUCCCGUAAUAUUUCUGCCGCCCAAUAUCGACAGAAGAGAUCUCGUUAAGUAUCCUUAUAAUCCAUUUGAUGUUCAACAUUGAAUUUUUGAGGACCAACCCAUAAAAAGCGGACUUCGAGCUUCGGGAGUUUAUGUUUGCUUGCCUUGUUAUUCAGCCUGACUUUGAUCAGGUUUAGAAUCUUAAACUAACAGAAAAUACCCAAAAAAAAUUAGAUGGAAUUCUUUUUUUUUUUUUAUACCCGCAUAAUUAAUUGCUUGAAUUAAUUUCUGAUCACUUCAUCAAAUAAUAAGGUUAUUCGGUUCAACUGUGAAGCUAAACUGGAAAUCUUCAAGAAAAGAUAUUUAUUUCGACUGAAUCAUUAAAGAAAACUUAUUUCCUUAGCAAUUUUUGGCCUAUCCUUUAACACGCUUUUUUACAGAUCGAUACUAGUCUUUGAGGUGGAAAUGGGAAUCAAUAUUUCUAAAAGUCAUUAAGUUCAUUGAUCUUUGACAUUGUUUUGCGGAUUAUUACCUAGUUCUACUCCUAUUUUCCAGUUUAUUACAAAAUACUGUUGCCUGCGUACCUAAAAAUUACGCAUAGGUUAUGCAAGUUUCAUAUUACAUUUAUUGUUAUGUUACGUUAACAGUUUUAUAUAAUAUAUCGUUUCAACAUUACAGUGUUGCGCUGUUAUAACCAAGUUGUGCAAUGUUAUAGUAACCUGUAUGUUGCUGUUACGUAACGAAUAAUAGUUUUGAAAAGAGUGGAAAACAGGAACGUCACUGCAACUAUUAGUAGGGAAAUGUAAAAUACACAACCAACUCGGGCUGCGAUUUAUUCGUCAAUUUGUGUGGAAUGCCUCGACUUUAAAAACUUCGCUCUUCUGUGGGCUUAUGUGCAGUUAUACAACAUCCAUUAUAUUUGUCGACUUUUUGUAAUGACACAAAUGUGUAGGACAACGUAGCGAACAAUGUUAUGUACGAAUAUCAGAUCCUACUUGUGACUAUUAGUAGAUUUUCUUUUAUUAUUCUCUACUACUAAGCACGUAAUUUCCUUCUUUCUAAGCACAAAAAAACUACUAGAAUUGGAAACACGCUUUCCACUACCCUUGCAGGUGAAAUUGGGGGCAAUGAAGUUACUUUUGCUUCAGAAACACCACAGUAGCAGUUAACAAAUGACAAAUUGAACAACGUGUACAUAGUAGAGUUCAAAAUUUAUAGGUACCUAAGUGAACGAGCUGCGGACUGUUAGCAUAGAGAAAAGACUACCAUAUUAGAGUAUACUAGAUUUUAUGCAUGAAUGUGUACAAAAUGUCUGUUACAUAAUAAUCGUCCGGUUAAAUCGGUGGAAACAGUUAAAAAAAUGGUUUAUGUUCGCGAUUUGGUGUCUACUCUCUGUGCUUGUUCGGCAGAAGCUUACAUACAAAAAAAAAACUACAAAUACCUGUCUGCUUCUGACGAAGACGAUAUUACAGUAUUGUCGAAGAUACUAUCUGAUAAACAAUGAAAUUCUAAAAUAGCUGUGUAAGGUAAAGCAGUAUUACUAAUAAUGACCUAGGAAUUCAGUUUUUAGUUGGCGAACACACACACAAGACGAAAAAACCCACUGUAAAAAAAACACAAGGAAGAAGAAAGAAAUAGUUUCAAACUUAUAUGAUUUGCCAAACUAAUGGGAAACAUAACUCGCUCUCUUAGGUUUAAAGCAGAUAACAGUUAAGAAGUCCGUCAUUCUCAAUAAUUUGCUUUGUCAAUAUAGUCAUCGUUCAGUUCCUUAUUAUAUACAAACGACGAGGACACGAGCAUCAGCCGAUCGCCUCCAGAUAGUAGUUUCAGGCCUAAAACACUGAUUUUAUAUAAUGAACGUUCAAAGAAUAGGUAUUCAACGUGCAAAGAUAUUAUAUAUUAUUACUAAAAACUCUGUGGAAAUAAUUUCAAUGUCAUUGAGCUGUAUGUGUGAUCGAAUUGGAUGAAUGUUGUUAACUGUCGGUGGUUUAAAUGUGAUCAAAAUGAAAACUAGACAAACAAACAAAAAAAAACAACAUACACUAGAAUAUGUACGGCUUUUACUAGCUCGGUAGCCAAUUUUAGUUGCAUUCUUCAACUUUUUACUCAGAAAGUUAGAAUAGCUUUUGAACAACCAACACGUACACACUUUCGGACCAAACGGGGCACUUUUAGAAGAUAAAAUACACACACUUGAACAGAUAGGAUAUUCCGAACAGCAAUUUUAUUUUAACGUUGGUAUUUUUCUUCCAUCUAGCUGUAGCAAUCAUUUCAAAACAGCAAACCAGUCGAUAAAACAAGCAUGUAAAAAUAAAGAUCUAGUAGUAAAAUUUUGGAUUCCUUUUCAAAACAUUUGGUAAAAAAAUGAAUAUUUGGCUUUAAUCCCAAACAUGAUGAUAGCAAACUAGAGCUGUUUUAGUGAGUAGUCAGAUCGAUAAAUUGUCCAUCAAUUAGCUACACACUUAACGCUGAAAUGGCGAAACGACGUAGCAUAAAUCUAAAGUUUAGAUCCAUAAUUAACUAAUUAACUAUACAAAAGAUAAUUAUGCCAUUAUCAACUAGCGAUAAAACUACAUGACGCAUGCAGGUAUUCGAAAUAUGCGCUUAAUCCUAACAUUCUACUCACACUUGCACGUCGAUAUAUAAUGCAAAAAACAACGCUGUGUAGAGGCAAAAACACUGUUCAUUCAAAAAUUUACUACAUUUAUAGGAACGAAAAAAGCCGAUAUGUGAUUGCAAAUUCAAGUCUAAGAUCAUUUAAUGUAUAAUUUGCAGCUACGAUUCUAGAAAAAUUAAAAUAAUGAAAAAACUGACAACUGUACGCCGUAUGAUCACUGUCUCAUUUGUUAAUGGAAUUGUCUAAUAAAAUUGAAUAUCAAGAAAGUUGCGCAAUUUAUAGAAAA